rnacentral:siRNA from 1 species
AUUGCAUUCAGGUUUUGCUUU